rnacentral:rRNA from 1 species
AAAUUGAAGAGUUUGAUCAUGGCUCAGAUUGAACGCUGGCGGCAGGCCUAGCACAUGCAAGUCGAACGGUAACAGGAAGCAGCUUGCUGCUUUGCUGACGAGUGGCGGACGGGUGAGUAAUGUCUGGGAAACUGCCUG